GAUGAACGCUGGCGGCGUGCUUAACACAUGCAAGUCGAACGAAGACAUCUGAGUGCUUGCACUUGGAUGGACUGAGUGGCGGACGGGUGAGUAACGCGUGGGUAACCUGCCUUAUACAGGGGGAUAACAGUUGGAAACGACUGCUAAUACCGCAUAAGCGCACGGUAUCGCAUGAUACAGUGUGAAAAACUCCGGUGGUAUAAGAUGGACCCGCGUCUGAUUAGCUUGUUGGUGAGGUAACGGCCCACCAAGGCGACGAUCAGUAGCCGGCCUGAGAGGGUGAACGGCCACAUUGGGACUGAGACACGGCCCAAACUCCUACGGGGAGGCAGCAGUGGGGAAUAUUGCACAAUGGGGGAAACCCUGAUGCAGCGACGCCGCGUGAGUGAUGAAGUAUUUCGGUAUGUAAAACUCUAUCAGCAGGGAAGAUAAUGACGGUACCUGACUAAGAAGCACCGGCUAAAUACGUG
rnacentral:rRNA from 1 species